UACGAAGGCUCCAAGCGUUAUCCGGAUUUAUUGGGCGUAAAGGGCGCGUAGGGGGUUUCGUGUGUUUUCGGUUAAAUACCGGAGCUUAACUCCGGAAGGGCCGGAAAAACUACGAGACUAGAGGGCGUUAGAGGUCUGUGGAACGCACGGUGUAGGGGUGAAAUCCGUUGAUAUCGUGCGGAACACCAAAGGCGAAGGCAGCAGACUGGGACGUUCCUGACCCUGAGGCGCGAAAGCGUGGGGAGCAAAAAGG
rnacentral:rRNA from 1 species